rnacentral:rRNA from 1 species
UACGUAGGGCGCAAGCGUUGUCCGGAAUUAUUGGGCGUAAAGAGCUCGUAGGCGGUCUGUCGCGUCGGCUGUGAAAACCCGAGGCUCAACCUCGGGCCUGCAGUCGAUACGGGCAGACUAGAGUGCUGUAGGGGAGACUGGAAUUCCUGGUGUAGCGGUGAAAUGCGCAGAUAUCAGGAGGAACACCGGUGGCGAAGGCGGGUCUCUGGGCAGUAAACUGACGCUGGAGGAGCGAAAGCCGUGGGGGAGCGAACAGGA